GAAUCCGCUAAGGAGUGUGUAACAACCCACCUGCCGAAUCAACUAGCCCUGAAAAUGGAUGGCGCUCAAGCGUCGUGCCUAUACUCUGCCCACACCGUGAGCAGCGGCGGUGUGGAGUAGGAGGGCGUGGAGGUUGUGCGGAAGCCCUCGGCGUGAGCCCGGGUGGAACGGCCUCUAGUGCAGAUCUUGGUGGUAGUAGCAAAUAUUCAAACGAGAACUUUGAAGGCCGAAGUGGAGAAAGGUUCCAUGUGAACAGCAGUUGGACAUGGGUUAGUCGAUCCUAAGGAUCAAGUUAACUCUGACGUGUAACGUGGGCAUUUCGCGUUCGCGCGUGUGCCCGUCAGCCGAAAGGGGAUCAGGUUAAUAUUCCUGAACCAGAGCGCGGAUAUCUGUGUCGCAGUCUCUCGGGGCGGCGGCGCAGUGUUACGGUAACGUAAGCGAACCCAGAGACGUCGACAGGGACCCCGGGGAGAGUUCUCUUUUCUUGUUAACAGGCUGCCUGGACCGUGGAAGUCGCUUGCCGAGAGAUACGGUCCGCGAGUCUGGUAAAGCCCCACCUCUACUGUGGGGUCCGGUGCGUUCCUGUAGGCCCUUGAAAAUCUGGGGGAGAGAAUGAUUUUCGCGUCUGUUCGUACUCAUAACCGCAGCAGGUCUCCAAGGUGAGCAGCCUCUGGCUGAUAGAAC
rnacentral:rRNA from 1 species